CCCUUAGAGUUUGAUCAUGGCUCAGAUUGAACGCUGGCGGCAGGCCUAACACAUGCAAGUCGAGCGGAAACGAUCCUAGCUUGCUAGGAGGCGUCGAGCGGCGGACGGGUGAGUAACGCGUGAGAAUCUACCCAUGAGUGGGGGACAACCCGGGGAAACUCGGGCUAAUACCGCAUACGCCCUACGGGGUAAAGCAGGGGACCUUCGGGCCUUGCGCUGAUGGAUGAGCUCGCGUCGGAUUAGCUUGUUGGUGAGGUAAAGGCUCACCAAGGCGACGAUCCGUAGCUGGUCUGAGAGGAUGAUCAGCCACACCGGGACUGAGACACGGCCCGGACUCCUACGGGAGGCAGCAGUGGGGAAUCUUGGACAAUGGGGGCAACCCUGAUCCAGCCAUGCCGCGUGUGUGAAGAAGGCCUUCGGGUUGUAAAGCACUUUCAGCAGGGAGGAAGGCUUACCCCUAAUACGGGUGAGUACUUGACGUUACCUGCAGAAGAAGCACCGGCUAAUUUCGUGCCAGCAGCCGCGGUAAUACGAAAGGUGCAAGCGUUAAUCGGAAUUACUGGGCGUAAAGCGCGCGUAGGCGGUGUGUUAAGUCGGAUGUGAAAGCCCAGGGCUCAACCUUGGAAUUGCAUCCGAUACUGGCACGCUAGAGUGCAGUAGAGGGAGGUGGAAUUUCCGGUGUAGCGGUGAAAUGCGUAGAGAUCGGAAGGAACACCAGUGGCGAAGGCGGCCUCCUGGACUGACACUGACGCUGAGGUGCGAA
rnacentral:rRNA from 1 species